CCCUUAGAUGUUCUGGGCGGCCCGCGCACUACAUUGGCACUCUCAAUAAGUUCCUAGAUCUAAAACUUUGGGGUAUUCUAUUAAGUGGUGUCGUGACUGGGAUUAACCCUUGCAAUUAUUGGUUACGAACGAGGAAUUCCUUGUAAUCGCGGUUUAUCAGCCCGCGUUGAAUGCGUCCCUGCCCUUUGUACACACCGCCCGUCGCUCCUACCGAUGAAUCGUCCGGUGAAGUUCAUGGAGUGGUGGUUGUUCCAGCUGCUGUCGAAGUGAAGUGGACCUCACGAUUUAGAGGAAGGAGAAGUCGUAACA
rnacentral:rRNA from 1 species